rnacentral:lncRNA from 1 species
AAGAAUACUAUCUGUUAGCAAACAGACUCUGUUGUUUUCAAUUUAUUUUCAAUGUUGGAGCUUUCGAAUCGACGAUCGGCACCGUUCAACAUGAUUUAAACCACCGGAAGUAUCUAAAAAUUAAAUUUCAUAUUUUUUUUUCGAUAUUGUUUUCUUGUACACCAAGUGAACACAAAAUUAAACAAGUAAAAAUAAAUAUUCUUCAAAACGUGAUGAUAGGAUUCUUAUUAUCGAGAACAAGAAUAUAGAACUUGUUUUAAAUAGUUUAAAAAAUUUUCUAAAUAAAUUCAGUUGAUUUAGAUUUUUAACACGAUUAAUUCAGCAAACGUCUCAUAUCGACCAUUAAAAUUACAAUUUUUUUGCAAUCCCUUGAUCAUUAGGUCACUAAUAUAGAAAAGAUUUGAAAUUUGAUUUCUAGAUAUUUCAAGCAGCAUAGAUCAUGGUCAACGAUGCCGAUCGUCGAUUUGGAGGCUCCAUCAUCGAAAACAAAUCAGUAAUUACUAAACCCUUUUGCUACUGAUAGUUUUCAACUUACAGGAUUAACUACAUAUCAUUUGUUUUUGGAUGUAAAUAAAAUUAUAAUGUAGAAACCAAUUGUGUUCAUCCAAAUGGUCCAUAAAUAAAGGUGUAGUAGAUAAAUAAUACCUGAAUCAGAAGAGAACAUCAAAAAAUACACCAAAAUAAUUGUCACACAUCUUCUAUCCAUUGUUAUUUUUUUUUUUAACUCUCACCUCUCUCUUUUAUUUGCUAGUAAUUAAAAUUACUCUAAUCAUAUUAUACUCUUUAUAUAUAAUAGAAGGCCUUUUAUACUUAGCAAAAGCUUUAAUGUAGUUAAUAAAUGCAAUAGGAUUAAUUGCACCCUACAAAAGCAAUAACAAAUGGCAAUGGCUAAGAUAUGAUAUCUCUAUUUUGAAGGGUUAGUGAGAUAUGAUAUCUAAAUUUGUCAGAUGCAUUAGAUGUGCUUUAAUUAUUGCACUAACUUUUCAUCUCUUUGAUGAGUUAAUUUCCUCAAGGGAAAUUGAAAAUUAAAAGGAGAAAAUUUAUAUAUAUAUAUAUAUAUAUAUUGUGUGUCAUGUUGUGUAGGGAUUUUAAUUUUCAUAAAGGUGCUUAACUUUUUUAGAUAAUUUCAAGAUAUUCUUUAGUUUAUUUUUUCACAUUGGGUGAAUUUUGAUAUAAAAAAACCCUUUUAUAUUAUCACCAUGCAUCCAUUAUUAUUUUUGGGAUAUUUUUUUUUAAAUAACUAAGUUAAAAUAAUAUGAUUUAUUUGAUAUAUAUGUAUAUGAUAACUUAGUCCAUCUCUUUUGGAAUACACACAAUUCUAUCAUUUUAACCACUCCAAAAAUAUCAUUUUUGAUUUUUACUUAUUAUUUGAUUCUUCCAAAAAAAAAUUGAGAUUGAUAGAUGAUUACUUUGAUGGUACUUUCAUUUUUUAAUAUUUGAUUUUAUUAAAAUUUGAAAAUACAAUUAAAUUGAAUUCAAAUUUGUAUAAAAAAUACAUGAAAAUAUCGAGAAGUCGAAAAAUAGUUGCGGCCAGAUUUUCGAAUUGACUGAAAGUGUCAUUGUACCCGCAAAUUAUACGGGUGCAAAUAGAAUUUAUUCAUAGAUUUUUAGAUAGCUAUCAUUCUUACCCAUACCAGUCUGUAGACGUGUGGGAGAGUAUACGGAUUAUCCACAAAGUAUGAUUUUUUUUUUUUUUCCUUUCUCAUAUUUAUUUUUUACAAAAGAUCAAAAUAUAACUUAUUAUUUUAAAUAUCAUAAUAUACAAAUGAUAAUAAAAAAAAAAAUUGACAUUAGGAGAAACUAGCGUUAGGAUAUUUAGGAAUGGAUAAAACAAAUGGAGUUCUCCUUUUUUUUAUAAUUUUUUAAUAUAAUUUAACAGAUAACCCCUCAUUUUACCUUUUUUUUUUUUUUAGAGAUAAGUAGCAUGCUAUCCGCUUUGUUUAUUUUUAAAAAAAAUAAACUUAGCUGAAAAUGUUUAUUUUUUUAAAAAAUAAACUUAGCUGAAAAUGUCAAUCAACUAAGAUUCGAACUUAGAAUCUCGGAUACCAACCAUCAAGCUCUUUGCCACUUGCGUUAGCUAGGGACGGUCAAUAUUUUACCCAUAUUUUUUUGGAUAAAAAAAAUUAGGGUACGGAUUGAGAUUGCCAAGUCUACCUAAACACUGCUUGAUUAGAUAUUUUUUAAAAAAACUAAAAGUACUAUUUAAAUAGAGUUAUUCAAAACAAUCACAUUAGUAAAAUCCUCAAAACUAUAACUCCAAAAAUAGAACCAAGAAGUAUAUAUCUUAUUUUAUUCUGUUUUUACCUUAUUUGAAUCCUAAUUGGGCCAAAAUUUUUGCAUUCUUUCUAGUUCGAUUAGUAUUACAACAUAUGUACUAGAAUUUCGGUUUUUUUUUUUUCCUCAGAAGUUUAUGGAACUGCCCUAUAUAAUUCACUACAAGAAAAUUAAUAUUUAGUACUAUUUAUUUUAUAUUUAAUGAUACUUAAAAGCUUCUCAAUAUAGUCUAGCGGCACAUUUGAAAGCGUCUAUUAAAAUAUCGGCAAAUGAGAUGCUUUAAAGCGUCGAAUAUUUUUUAGGAUUUUUAAAAUUCUAACAUUUUAAAGCGUCGAAAAAUUAAAAAUAAUAAUAAAUAUUAUCAUUUAAUAAAUUGGUUUGAUACCAUAGCCGGUUCAUACAACGACGCUUUUUGAAGCGUCGAUAUUUGCUAUAUUGUAGGGGCACUUGAGGAGCUAAAAAGCGUCCAAUUUUUUUUGUAGUGUGUAAGGGCGUAAGCUUUAUAAAACCAUAGUUUUUGAAGUUUAAUUAUAAUUAUUAUCUUCUCUUGGAAGAGAGAAGAUAUUCUCUCAUUCAUUUUUCUCUCGGCUUAGUCCUUCAUCUUAAAUAUUAGUCUAAAUUAUAGAAAAACUCCAGGAGAUACAUGCUUUUUCACUUUUUCUUUUUGACUUUUAAAAUUUUAUAUUUUGCCAUCUUAAAAUUUCAAAAAUAUUUAGGAGGGUACGAUGUUAAUGGAGAAGACAAAGUGACUAACUUGCUCUUACUUCUUCAAUAAGAAAAAAAAUAUUUUUUAAUAUAUUUCUGUUAUUUUGCAGAGCAUUUUUCGGUAUAAAUUAUAAGAAAUAGAUGAAAUAGUGAUGAAACCACGAUGGAGAGGCUCAAUACAAUAACUUCAAAUAUUGAGAGGGUAAAAUAUAGAUUUUUAAAAGUUAAGGAGGAAAAUUAAAAACAGGUAUUCAUAAGAGAAUUUUUUGUAAUUUAGUCUAAAUGUUAGAAAAUAUUAAUUUUAUAAGAGAGUUGAAACCCAGAGAGAGAGAGAGAGAGAAAGAGAGAGAGAGAGAGAGAGAGAGAGAGAUGUAGUAUCAUAUGUACCAUCAACUCAUACAUUCAUAUAUUUCAUAGAGUUCCUUCUCCCACAACAUCAUUAGCUCAUACACACAUGAUAAUCAAACAUAUAAUUAAGAGCCAAUAUUGUUUGUCAUUGUUAUUAUUAUUCAAUAAGGUUCCCUUUUCCUUCUCCUUUUUUUAAUUCCUUUUUUGCCCCCACUCAUGCAUGCAUGCAUUCUCCCAAAAGGAGCAACAAAUUAUAUAACAAACUUAAGAAGUGCAUAAAUAUAUAUGAAACCAUCAUCCUAAUGCUUUUUUGCAUGUAAAACAAUAGCAUGCAGUCCAAAACCCCUUGCACUCACCACCAACAUUGCCAUUCAACACACAUAAUGCUGAGCAGAUCUUGUUCAAGCAUGGCCCAAUGUAUAACUUCAUUUUGGCCUCAGUGCAAUCCCCCUCAUCAGUGCCCUUCACCAUCCCUAUAUUUAUACACACAUGCAACCAACUAUUUCAUUAUAACAAGUAGAGUUAGAUGUCAAAAAAAAAAAUAGUACAAAAGUAUUACAAAGGCUAAAUUACAAGAAAUCUUCUUAUAAAUAACUGUUUUUUCAUUUUUCCUCUCUAUCUGUAACGCCCUAACUUUUUAGAGGAUCACCCAUCUUAGGAAUAUUACUCACGUCCUAGCACACUUAACACUCUUAAUCUCUUGGGUCUUGCCACUACCCAAAAUACUUAAAUCGGGUUAAGAGUUCUAGCCCUAUUAUAUCUUUUAUAUAGAACUAUCUGGGGUUUCACAAUCUUCUCCCUUUAAGCCAUGACGUUCUCGUCAAGCUCAGACUCUCAAGUAUCAGGCGAUGUGAGACUCGUUUCGCUAGCCUUGUCAUUACGAUCCUGGCUUAGCCGAAACUCAACUCACACUUCCGGCUGGUAAUUGAUUCUGAUACCAACUGUGACGCCCCAACUUCCCAGGGGGUCACUCAUCCUAGGACAACUCCCGUUCUAGCACACUUAACUUUCAUAACCUCUUGGGCCUUUCCACAUACCACUCAAAAUGGUUAAAUCGGGUUAAGAGUUCUAGCCCUAUUAUAUCUUUUACAUAAGACUAUCUUGUGAAACAACCGUUGUACUCUAAAAACUAAAAGCUUAAGCUUUUAGAGUACAACAGUUGUUUCACAUGGUAUCAGAACAGGAGGUCCUGAGUUCGAGUCACGCCAGGCUCCUAGCAUAUUAAUUUCCUCCCAUUUAAUUCAAGCCCACGUCAUGGGCCGAUUAAAAAGUCUCGAGCCCAGACGUGAGGGGAGUGUUAAAUAUAAAAAUAUUUAAACACCGUUCUCUAACAGCUUAAGCUUUUAGAGUACAAUGGUUGUUUCAUAUAUCUAGGGUCUCACACUAUCUUUCAAAAACCUAUAUUUUACCCUCUCAAUAUUUCAAGUUGCUGCAUUAAUUAGCCCCCCCGCCCCCNNNNNNNNNNNNNNNNNNNNNNNNNCCUUUCGUCAGGGUUCCAUCACUAUCCCGCUCAUUUUUUAUAAUUUGUACCGAAAAUGCACAUCUAAAUGGUAGAAAUAUAUUAAAAUUUUAUUUUUGCCUUAUAAAAGAAAUAGGGUAAUUUGGUUACUUUGUCAUCUUCAUUAACAUCGUACCCCCAUGAAAAUAUUUUUGAAAUUUUAAGAAGGUAUGUAAAAUAUAGAUUUUUAAAAGUUAGAGAGGAAAAGUGAAAAAAUGGGUAUUUUCAGAAAGUUUUCUGUAAUUUAGACAAAGUAUUAAGUAUGUCAUGUUAAGAAAGGCAUGCAUGGUAAAAGAAUUACUUCCAUUAUAUAAGAUGCAUAAAUUAAUUUUGGGGUAAACUUCAGUUGAUCAGCGCUCCAUGGUUUAGCGCAUUUUCACUUCGCCGCUCUACAAUUUAAAAAGUUGCGCUAGCUUAAUCACUUUGUGAUUUUAUUUUUGUUUUACCGUAAGAAUCUACUGUUAAACAGAGUAGUAAGGUGAUACUAUUUACAGAAUUGCAAUAUAUAUAUAUAUAUAUAUAUAUAUAUAUAUAUAUAUAUAUAUAUAUAUAUAUAUAUAUAUAUAUAUAUAUAUAUAUAUAUAAACAUUAAUUUCAGCUUAUAUAUUUUGUGUUAGCCAUAAAAGUCAUCAAUUAAGCGAGCAAACAUCAGUCCGACUCAGCUCGAAUUAGAUUAAGAGAAAGCUCGAGCUUGCAAGAAGCUAGAGAGAUCUGAGCUCGAAAUCGGCUCAUCAAUUAAGCAAGAUAACUCGAGCUCAUUAGAUUAGUUCGGAAAAAUUAGUCAAAAUCUUACAAAUUCCAAGAGCGAACAGUCAAAGUGACAAUUGAAAUCGUACUAAAUCAUCGGUACCACAAUCUUAAGACNCAGAAUGAUAAUUUAACUGUUAGAGCUAAUAAAUAUUUUAAAUAUAAUUUUAAACAUAUAAAUUAAAAAGAUUAGAAUUAUUGGUGAGAAAAAAAAUAGUUAGGAAUUUGAAUUCGAAUCUCACUAACAAUCACAAAACUUAUUUCCGAACUCGACAGAUUUCGAAAAUCCAUAUCCAAAUUCAAAACUGACCAAUUUUCCGAAACCCAAAACCAAACCUAAACCAGAAGACUAAAAUUCAAACAAUUAUUUCUAUUUAUCAUAUUUCAAAGUAUUUAUAUGAAACUUAAAUUUUUAAAAU